ensembl:rRNA 5S_rRNA 5S ribosomal RNA
CAUGGCCAUACCACACUGAACAUGCCCAAGUUCACCUGAUCUUGGAAGCUAGGCAAGGUUGAACUUGUUUAGUACUUGUAUGGGAAAACUAAAUAAAUCAAGAUAUAUCUAUGC